UAUAUACUAGCUUAAUUGGUAGAGCAUUGUACAAAUACACAAAAGAUGUGGGUUCGAAUCCCACGUAGGUUC
rnacentral:tRNA from 1 species